UACGAAGGGGGCUAGCGUUGUUCGGAAUCACUGGGCGUAAAGCGCACGUAGGCGGAUUGUUAAGUCAGGGGUGAAAUGCCAAGGCUCAACCUUGGAACUGCCUUUGAUACUGGCAAUCUCGAGUCCGGGAGAGGUGAGUGGAACUGCGAGUGUAGAGGUGAAAUUCGUAGAUAUUCGCAAGAACACCAGUGGCGAAGGCGGCUCACUAGCCCGGUACUGACGCUGAGGUGCGAAAGCGUGGGGAGCAAACAGG
rnacentral:rRNA from 1 species